UCGGGAAUAUUGCGCAAUGGAGGAAACUCUGACGCAGUGACGCCGCGUAUAGGAAGAAGGUUUUCGGAUUGUAAACUAUUGUCGUUAGGGAAGAUAAAAGACUGUACCUAAGGAGGAAGCCCCGGCUAACUAUGUGCCAGCAGCCGCGGUAAUACAUAGGGGGCAAGCGUUAUCCGGAAUUAUUGGGUGUAAAGGGUGCGUAGACGGAGAAGCAAGUUAGUUGUGAAAUCCCUCGGCUCAACCGAGGAACUGCAACUAAAACUAUUUCCCUUGAGUGUCGGAGGGGAAAGUGGAAUUCCUAGUGUAGCGGUGAAAUGCGUAGAUAUUAGGAGGAACACCGGUGGCGAAGGCGACUUUCUGGACGAUAACUGACGUUGAGGCACGAAAGUGUGGGGAGCAAACAGG
rnacentral:rRNA from 1 species